rnacentral:rRNA from 1 species
AUUCCAGCUCCAAUAGCGUAUAUUAAAGUUGUUGCGGUUAAAAAGCUCGUAGUUGGAGUUCUGCCAGGUGACGCUCGUCCGCCCAAGUGGUGUGUACAGGGCGUGCAUCUGGCCCCUUCAAGGGGAACGUGUUGCACUUUAUUGUGUGGCGCGAGAUCCUUGACUUUUACUUUGAGGAAAUAAGAGUGUUCCAAGCAGGCUCUCGUCGUGCAUAGCUCAGCAUGGAAUAAUAGCAUUGGACUUCGUUUCUAUUUUGUUGGUUUUCGGAAAUCGACUUAAUGAUAAAUAGGGACAGUCGGGGGCAUUUGUAUUCAAACGACAGAGGUGAAAUUCUUGGACCGUUUGAAGACAAACUACCGCGAAAGCAUUUGCCAAGAAUGUUUUCAUUG